GGCGGGUCGUGGCUUCCGGCCCCGGGAGGGAGCCCGGCGGCGGCGGCGGUGUGGAAGCAGCUGUGGGGAGACUGACCCGAGGGGUUCUGCCGGCCCGCAGGUUGCACCGACUUCUCUGAGGGGGGGCCUGAAGCCUUAGAGACACAGAGUCCUGCAACGGACAACACCCUACAUCAAAACACUCGGUCUGUGUAACUGUUUCUUAUUGCACGAAUGCGACCGUCCGCGGAGUCCACAAGCAAAAUUCCCUAUUAUACGUAUCUAGCUUAUGACAUGGAUCUGAUUUAUGAAAUUAACCCCUUUAAGCUCUUUACAGUGAAAUUGGAGGGCUGCGAAGAGGUGAACACACACAGCAACACGUACACGUGGGUGUGAAGCCAUUCUACAGCUGAUAAAGCACAGUCCGGGAAGUGAUCAAGCACACGUACAUCUCUUCUUCUUCAGCAGCUGACUCUGCCCUACAGCUGAACUUUUACCAUAAUUGGUAAAUGUUUACCGAGGGAUCUGUAGUUGAAACAUAUCUGACUCCAAAAAUCAGUAUCAAGCUCCUUCUAAAAUGCGUUUAAUUUGUGUCUUCACACAAUACCCACAGCUUCUGGAAGUUUGGGGCACAUGGCCAGAGGCAGGCAGUAAGUCAGCAGUCAGAAUACAUGCAAGCAGGGCCCACUGUCUGAAUUUUUUUAUAUAUAAAGAUUUUAUUUAUUCUUGAGAGACACAGAGAGGGAGGCAGAGAUACAGGCAGAGGGAGAAGCAGGCUCCAUGCUGGGAGCCCAAUGUGGGACUCGAUCCCAGGACCCCGGGAUCAUGCCCUGAGCCAAAGGCAGAUGCUCAACUGCUGAGCCACCCAGGUGCCCCCCACUGUCUGAAUUAAUUUUACAUCUCUACAAACAGCAACAGUGCUACACUGUAUAUCCCCCUCACAGUUCAUGUCCUCUCCAAUAAGUUAAAAUCACUCACCUUUUAUUUUGGUGAAGAUAUAAAAUCUCUCUUCCUAAUUUGUCCUUUGCUUACAAUGACACUACACAGGAGCUGUAGUUUACGAAGACGAUCCAAUUGAAGUGACAUCACCUCUUUGUAAUUAUUUUGAGGACAACCUUUAAUUCUCCCUGGACUCUUGCACUCUUUCUUUCUCUAAUUUGCAGUGGAUACUUUGGGCACAGAUGUACCAUUUUCAAGUGUCCCCAUCCCACAUCCCAGCAGAGUUUUGGUCUUCUGACCAUAUCCAGCUGGUUUCUAUGAAAAGGUUAAGUGUUCCUCUUACGCUUCAUGAAGUAGGCAAGAAACGAAAUCUAUGUAUUCUGUAAUACAUAGAAUUUAGUAAUAUAAUAUUUCUAGAGUUUCUAAAAAGCAUGGUCAUAUGAAUUAUAAUGUAAGUUGAAACGCAGAAGUUAAACAUUCUGGAGAUAAUGCUUAGAAUGACAAUAAUAACUCCUGUCGCUUUGUGAUUGCAAAGUCCCUGGAUGGAAGUUUGUCAUCAAAACUGGAAGACCUUGGGACAAUUUGAGAAAUCUUACCAUUCUGUACUCACCCUAGUUGUGAUGACGUGAGAUGAUAAGACAUCUACACAAUCAGGUGGAGUGAGGGGUGAACAGAAUGGCACGGGGACUGUGACCUAGCAUUAGGCUACUGUUGACCUUCUGACAACAUGUCAGAAGGAAGAUCAUCUGCUUCUAGACUACAGCUGCCCAUGGGGCACUGAUCCCAUGCCCCGUGUUCUUCAGAUGCCAGUUCUUCACUCGCAGGCUGAAGUGUUACAUUUGGAAAAGCUUCAUGAAAAUUUGUGCUCAGCCCCUUUGAAUAACAAGUAUUGGGUCAUCUUGCAGUGGAAAUUAUAUUAGACCAAUUUUCAGAAUAUCUGAGACAGGGUCCUCAGAAGUUGGAUUCUCUCAAGGAAGAUUCUAUCACCUGUAGUGGAGUGCAGCACCUGAGAGAAAUGAGUAGGUCUUGCCAGAUACUUCUCAGAACAUAGGAAUGAGGAUUCUCUGAUAGCGUUCUAGCGUUCUGUGUCAUCCAGUUGAUGACACAGAACCAAUGGGCUACAGGCAGCAUGUCUUCCAUGUUGGCAGUGAAAGGAGAGAGUAAAAGCAGAAACCUCCAUUGAGGUCCUUUGAGACUGAAUCUAGGAAGUAGAACAAUAUCCUUUCAUUCUCAUUUCAUUGGUCAAAACAAGUCAAAUUACAGCCCAGAUUCAGGAGGAAGAGGAAAAGGCUGUUCCUGGAAUGAACAACGAAUAGCAAAGUUACAUUGUAAAGGGCAUGGACGAAGAGAGGCAUGCUUCAUUGGAGCUCUCAAUUGUAACUGUCAGCCAUAGAAGUAAAAGAAAAAGACUCUCCAAAAAUCAUAAAUGAAGGAAAGAUGAGGAUUUGAAGACAUACAUUGAUUCAAGGAGGUGUCAAUUCGAAGUUUGGGAUAGAUUGAGAUUUAGGACUCAAGAUUCAGGAAUUCUCCUUUGCAUGUUGGAUAGUGAGUUUCUGAAUUUUUUAAAACAUAAGAAAAUAAGCAUACUAUUUGGCAUACUGAAUAAUUAGCAUUGAAAUGACAUAAAAGCAUUUUCAAUUUCUCAAUGAAAUUACAAACAAAUUCAGAAAAUGCUGCAGUUUUCAUUCACUUUGCUUUCUGAUAUCACAAAUUACAUACAAUGCCAAAUAUUAUAAUGUCUAAUUCCUUCCCAUAAAAUUAGUACUUCAAAACGGGAUCCCUGGGUGGCGCAGCGGUUUGGCGCCUGCCUUUGGACCAGGGCUCGAUCCUGGAGACCCGGGAUCGAAUCCCACGUCGGGCUCCCGGUGCAUGGAGCCUGCUUCUCCCUCUGCCUGUGUCUCUGCCUCUCUCUCUCUCUCUGUGACUAUCAUAAAUAAAUUAAAAAAAUAAAAUCUUUAAAAUUAGUACUUCAAAACAUACAACUGUUUGCUCUAAGUACUUAUCAUCUUAUUAAAAAAACCUUUAUAAAAUUAGAUAUUUGUAAUGUAUCAGGUGCCAUCAUAAAAAUACUAUUUCACUUACUCAAAGCAAUGUUUUCAGUAAUAAGUAAUGUUAAUUAAAAUUUGAAUUAUGUGUUAUGAAAUGCAUUUGCCAUUAUCUGUAUGCAUGAUGUUUCUUUUCUUUUUAUUUUACUUAAUUCUUUUAUAAUGCUUACCUAAUCAUACACACUAUUUAUUUAUUUAUUUAUUUAUUUAUUUAUUUAUUUAUGACUUUAUUUUUAAGUAAUCUCUCUACCCAGUGUGGACCUUGACCUUAGAAUCAAGAAUCAUGUGCUCUACCAACUGAGCCAGCCCCAGUACCCCUGGCAUAUGCUUUUUAAAUAUUAGGGCGUUAAGCCCUGAGAAGAACCCUCCAAUAGAACCACUUUUAAUUUUUAAAUUCACAAAAGAGGAAACUAAGAUGAAUAGGUAUUUAAGAUAGAUAAAUAGAUGUUUAGUGAAUUGUCUAAGGCCCUAGGUUGUUAAGUAGUGAAACUAAGAUUUGAACCAAGGCAAUCCGGUUGUAGAUUGAUACUCUUAGUCAUUAUGUGAUAGCAACUAAAAUAUUAACAGUGCAGUACAAUUAAAAAUAAGAUUAAAAUAUCUUGCCACAUUCCUUCCUCAUAUCUUUUACCACUUCUUAGAGUUAAACAUACUUAAUCUUUAGUGUUCAUAACUAUUUCUUGUAGGAAUCACCAUAACUUUAAACACCUUUAAAUACCUUUAUUUACUAAUUUUUUAAAUGUGUAAAUUUGAACAUACUACUUCUAAUUCUUUUUCAACUUCCAUCCUCAUAUUUUUGUUAGUUGUGUUUUGGUUAAUGUAGUUCCUGACAAAUUAUGCUUAUGUAAUCAUUAUUUAAUUUAGAACCAAACACUAUGAAAGACAUAUAAUCCAAUGCCAUUAAAAUUUGGGAUUACUUUACCUUCUGUCCUUAUAAUUGUUCAGAAUUAUGCUACACUUUUCUUUGCCUAAAUGAAGACCAUGCUUUUAUCAUAUAACUUUAGUUGGUAUGAUAAGAUCCAUAGACUCUCUGUAUUUUUUAUUUGCUUUAUUGAAGAGAUAUUACAAUGUCCUCCUGAUUCUUUGGUCAUAUAUGUCAAAUAUCUGUCAGAUUCCAUUUUAUGCAUAAUCAUUGCAACAGUGUUUAUAAUAUGGAUAUUUCCUAUGAUAAUAUCAGUAUGUUUUUAUGUAUAUAUACCUAAAUGAAUCACUCAUUAUACUUAAUGAUUUUUAUAGAUAAGAUAAUAAUUAUUUGUGUAAUAGGAAAAUUACAUAAUGUCAUUAUAUAUGCAGUAAAUUUAUGAAUUAUUCCAGCUUGAAAUUUAUUAAUAUUACAUAGGAUGUAUUUUUAGUUAUUUAGUUAAUAGAGCCAUUUAUAUUCCUAGAUAAUCCUCUCGUCCCCAGGGAAUAUAAUGUAUAAUACUUAGUUACCCUUUCCUCACUGGUCAGCUACACAUAUCCUUUUCUAUCCUCGCAGUAAAAUCAGUAAUUCUGAGACAUUUAAACAAACCCAGUUCACUUUGUCCAGUACAUUAAGAUAUUAUGGUUACUUACUGCGGUUGUCACUUAAAUUUUCAAGGAAAUGUUUUAAUGUAGUCCCAUCAUUAGAUGCAGUUUAUUUAUCUCCUUCUUAUAAUGCUGUUGAACAAAGUGCUAAAUAAUCUGAGUGGCCUAGUUGCUGAGAUUUCUUUGUUAAGGGAAUAUGGGCAUUCCUCACUUCUACCCCAUUUAAGGGGAGGAUCCAGGAGAAAAAGAGAAGGGGGAGACAUCAUUAGUAGGAUGACAGUAAUCUAAAGUAAAACAAUGGAAAUGAUGUCUACUGUACUAACUUAUAUCUAGUAACAACAUGCACAUCUUAUUCAUAUGGAGAAUUUUAUUUUCCUAUUGAAUUUAUUCAGUGUCUAAUUUUUAACAUUAUUUUUUAUCCCAUUUGAAAUAUUAAGAUUCAGACAACUAUACCAUAACAGCAUUGAACAUGCAUAUAAUAUUAAUAUUAACCACCUCACACCAGUGAGAAUGGGGAAAAUUAACAAGGCAGGAAACCACAAAUGUUGGAGAGGAUGCGGAGAAAAGGGAACCCUCCUGCAUGGU